rnacentral:rRNA from 1 species
GACGAACGCUGGCGGCGUGCCUAAUACAUGCAAGUAGAACGCUGAAGGAGGAGCUUGCUUCUCUGGAUGAGUUGCGAACGGGUGAGUAACGCGUAGGUAACCUGCCUGGUAGCGGGGGAUAACUAUUGGAAACGAUAGCUAAUACCGCAUAAGAGUAGAUGUUGCAUGACAUUUGCUUAAAAGGUGCAAUUGCAUCACUACCAGAUGGACCUGCGUUGUAUUAGCUAGUUGGUGGGGUAACGGCUCACCAAGGCGACGAUACAUAGCCGGCCUGAGAGGGUGGUCGGCCACACUGGGACUGAGACACGGCCCAGACUCCUACGGGAGGCAGCAGUAGGGAAUCUUCGGCAAUGGACGGAAGUCUGACCGAGCAACGCCGCGUGAGUGAAGAAGGUUUUCGGAUCGUAAAGCUCUGUUGUAAGAGAAGAACGAGUGUGAGAGUGGAAAGUUCACACUGUGACGGUAUCUUACCAGAAAGGGACGGCUAACUACGUG